rnacentral:rRNA from 1 species
CGAACGGGUGAGUAACACGUGGGCAACCUGCCCAAAAGAGGGGGAUAACACUUGGAAACAGGUGCUAAUACCGCAUAACCAUAGUUACCGCAUGGUAGCUAUGUAAAAGGUGGCUAUGCUACCGCUUUUGGAUGGGCCCGCGGCGCAUUAGCUAGUUGGUGGGGUAAAGGCUUACCAAGGCAAUGAUGCGUAGCCGAACUGGGAGGUUGAUCGGCCACAUUGGGACUGAGACACGGCCCAAACUCCUACGGGAGGCAGCAG